rnacentral:snRNA from 1 species
GUGCUCACUUUGGCAGCACAUAUAUUAAAACUGCAAUCAUACAGAGAAGAUUAGCAUGGCCCCUGCUAUGCUAAACGAUGACACACAAAUUCGAGAAGCAUUCCAUAUUUUU